UUUAUAUAUUCUAGAUACUAGUUCCUUCUCAGGCAUAUUAUUUGCAAAUACUUUUCCCCAUUGUGGGUUGUCUUUUCAUUUUCUUGAUGGUAUUGCUUAUAGCAGAAAUGCCAUAACUUCUGUGUUAUCCAUAUCAUUCCACUGUAAUUUGCAGUCACUUUGAAGUGCCUACACAAACCUGCUUAGAUGCUCAAAUUUUCAGCAGGGAGUUGUAUUCAGGAUAUGUUUGUUCAGAAUUAAAUUCACUAUACCAGGUCCUUUUUGCUUUUGUUUUUCUUGUGUAAUCGAGCAAGGAAGGCAAGGGGUCUCUUCAGCUUUGGUUAUUUCAUGGUGUACAGGUGAGCGUGUUUCCAAGGAAAUCAUUUUACCUCUCUAGCAAGCACUCUGAUCUUGUGGGUCUAAAAAGAAAUGGAGUCCAGCUGGCUGAACUCUGGUCUAUUUAAAUAGUCUUAUAUAGUGUGCACCAUUUUAUUUUCGUAAGGGCAGUAGUUGGAACUGCAUCCUCAGGCUGUAGCUAUAAUAAAAGUGUCAAGGAGUGUAAUGUGUGCAGCCCCUCAAUCCUACCAUGGGCGGCGUUGUGCUGCCUUUGUCCUCUUGUAGACACUCAUCAAGGUGCUUUGCUGGCAGAAGGAAAUCGGGCCCCAAGGCCGGUGAUCUGAUAACAGGUGCUGAUUUAGUGCCUUAGACUAAAUUACAUUAACCUGCAAAGUAAAAAGCUCUCUAUUUUGGUCGCAGCCCCCCUGGGCAGCGUAAUGCCUUUAUAUCUCAACCAUUGCUCAUGUGUUUUCAUUUCAGGUCUUAUCACCACAGAAAACAAUCUUUUGGUUUUCUCUUUUCCAUAAAAUUUGUGUGCUGUUUUUGUUUUGAUGCCACCUUUGAAAGAUCUCAGUUGAAUGCAUGAAGGGAAGUGUGCGUAUGCAUUUCUAUUUAAAAUGCUGCCUCACAUGGCCCUUUCACAUUAAAUCAUACUCUACACAUUAAUUUCUUGCUCUAAUAUCACAUCACAUUUCACAUGCCAAUCAUAUUCUACGUGCUAAUUUUUGGUUCUAAUGUCACAUGGCAUUUUAGGAGCCUAGAUAGGAAGCAUGAUGUUUUAAAACUUAAAUAGGAACGUCUACUAGAGACUUAUAGAUAUCAAUCCCAAUAAUUUAAUUGGAUUAAGUCUUAAUAAGCACAUUUAAUCAUCAAACAGAACAUUCACACCCUUGUAUUCAGUCUCAUUUGUCUUUCAGGCUAUGUGACCACCCAAAGGUUGCCUUUUAAGGAGCUUGUAAUCUAAUUAAGGAGAUAGAGACAUUGUCUUGAAAUUAUUGUAAAUGCUCUAAGACUGGAUAUCACGAGCAUGUUGUAGAUUUCAAACACAAUAUGGCUGUAGAGGGGAGGAAGGUCAUUCAUAAAACGAACACGGAUCUACUGGCAACACCCAGGCCCCUUGAGGGCCACGGCCCCUGUGCAGAUGACUUGGUUGCAGGUUGCAGCAGCUCCCACCAGAAUCCGGUUGGAGGUGGCUCUAGGAGACGCAGGAGGGGUUCAGACCUUGACUGCAGGAAUGGAAGGAUAUUCCAGUGAAGAGCGCCACGUGGCAGUGAGGGGAGGGGGAGGGGCCUAGGGGCCAGCUGUGGGAGAGCCUGUGGCACUGGCCUGCAGAGCCUGGCAGAUUGCAUUGGAUGGGAAGGGCUCGUAGUCUCCUUCUUCUUCCCCUCCAUUAGUGUGGAUCGUUGUUUUGCUGUGGAAAUAUGAGGGUUUGAUAACAGUUUGCUGCUCCAAAUGUCAGACGCCCCAUGUUCUCAGCACUGUCCAUAUUUAUGUUGAAUCCUCACAGCGAGCCCAUGACGGAAGGACUUUUAGAAAUCUGACUUGCAGGUAAGGCCUGAGGCACGGAGUAUGAGGUGGCUGGACGCCGCCUCCCCAAGCUGUGGAUGACCUUGCCCGGGAACCUCCCUUACGGUCCCCAGUGAACCUAGCUCCGGCAACUUCAUCUACCCCAGUUACGGGGAAACAUGAACUACGCUGGCCAUUAUGAAAUACGGAUUUUAUGUCUUUAUUAAUUUCUGAAUUUUUCUUUUUUUUUUUUGAGUUUUCCACAUGCUCAUUCCAAACCCCCAAAUAGAUCACAUAAGCAAGCCUUUUGGGGGAAAAGUUUUAAAAAGAAAGUAAGAUGUUCCUCAUUUUUUAUUAGCGAGCUGUUAUGUUUCAAUUCAAGUAAACCCUGAAACCUCCAAACACUGAUGUGAAAAGACUUAUUUCCUAGAUCCCUUGCCCCAUCCCCCCUCCACACAGCUGCCCACAGGGGAAUGUGUUGGUACAGAUGUAAUUUACAUAGUGUUGUCACAGUUAAAAACGUUCCACUGGAAGAGUCACCUCCUCUGGAGCUUUUCCACAGAGGGUUAAUCGGGAUGGAGCUCUUCUUAAUUUUACUAUCACUUCUUUCCAUUUUUAAACACUUUGACGUGGACUUUAUUCUGGUUUCAUAGUCCCGUCCUUUGACUUCUAGGAGGGCACAUCAGGGUGAGUUGGAGAAGUUCUUAGCUGUAAUCUCACCCCUUCCAACAUGUCAGCUUUGCGACGAUCCGUUUCUGCCUGAAAUGACCUGCACUGCCCGUUUGGCAGGUGUUGAAGGGUCUUUGGCUCCCCCGACCCCCCUGACUUGAUACUGCAAACAACGGUAUGGGGACAUUUACUCGACAUACCCGGGCCACAGCCAUUCCCCGGCCUCCCUCCCACAACCUUGCAAUAUUCAGGAUCCUUCCUAUGCCUGUGAGUUUGUCUAACCUGAGCCUUAGAUUGCCCAGCAUGUGCCAGCCACGUUCACGGUGCCCUCCCAAUGACAGGUGUGGUCCAGAUGGAAGCAUCUCCCGUCAAGUUCUCUCCCAGAACUCCCUCGGCAACCUGCACUUCCACACCCAAGCCCUUUACCCAGGCACCCUCCACUCCAGCAAGUGACUGGUCGGUAAUUGCCCCCAUGCGAAUCCCAUUUAUGAGGGCAAAGGAAGCCUUUCAAUCCCAUGUGCCACACCACAUCCCAUGUGGCUGGUGGAUGCUGGGCUGGAGGAAGUCACUACCUGGCCUCCCAGAGCCCUUCCCCACCCCGCACACUCUGAGGCUGCACUGAGUUUCUGGUUUAAUUAUGCUAAGGAGCGUGAUCUUUUUUGGAAGUGCUAUGGCCCGCACAAGCCGAGAGCAGAUGCAGUGAUCUCAGCGAAGCUUCCCUGUCCCUUAGAAACCAUAACAUGCAUCACGCAGAGGCCGUAGACAGGGAGGCAGCAGAGGGAAGGCUCUUUCUGAAUCUGUGAUGUUUGGUUCUUGAUAUCCCGGCCAGAUCCCUUUUAGACCAAGGUCAUGUCAGAACUUGACACUGAACACGUGGAUUUAAGUGAAUGUUUACAUUUCCAAAUGUUGAGGUCUCUUCGUCUUUGAACGAACUCAUCCAGAAAGUGAAAGCAGAAUGGGCUUCUAGGGGCCCCUGGCCAACACCUCUCUCUCUCCGGAUUUUCACUGUGGCUAGCUCAUUGGCCUGCAGAAAACUUCCUCAACUCAGUGAACAGAAAUGUUGACUUGAGCCCUUUUCAAGUUUUUCUUAUGAAAUAUUUUAGACAUUUUUAGGAAUGAAAAUACCGUUAAGUAACACCUAUGCAUCCAUAAAUUCAGCUUAAGAAAUGAAGAAGUUAUUGACACAGUUGAACACCAUUUAUGGCUCCCCCCUCAUCCUCCUUCCUCCCACUCCGAGGCUACCAUUGCCUUGGAUUUGAUGACUACCACUUCUGUUUAUUUCUUCCUGUUUUAUUGUGCGUAUCCUAAACACUGUAUUGUUUUUUGCAGUUUACAUGUCAUAUAAAUUGAGUCACCUCGUGUGUACACUAAUGCACCUUGUUCCAUGUUGUGUUCAUGAGCUGUAUCCAGGCUGACGGCUAGGGCUUGGUUCCUAUGUUUGCUCUGUGUGGCAUUUCAUCUGACUGUGCCGGCCCUCCUCUGUCAGUUGCCCUUUGGCUGGAUGCUUGCUCCUUCUGGUGUUGCUGAGAGCAGUGCUUCUGUGAACCAUCUUGUGCAUCCGUCCUGUGAGCACAGUAGGGGCAGGUGUUGCAGGGAGGUUCUCUAGGGUAUAUAUAUGCCUGGGAGUGAGAUUGCUGGAUCAUGGAGCACACGACCUUCAACUCUAGUAAAUAUUCUCUUCCAAAGUAGUCAUAUAAGAUGCAUUCCCAGCAGCAGUAGAUGUGAGUGCUCAUCCUCUCCCUCCUUACUGUUGGCAGCGCUUCCGGCAUUGAGCCGCUGCCCACCUGCUGUGUGUGAGAUGGUGUCCCACUGAGGCUAGACCACUCACUGCCUGACGACCAGCGUGGUCAGACUCCCUUUGCAUGUCAGGGGUGUUUGUAAUUUCUCUUUGAGUUCCCCAUCUAUACAGUGUUCCUAUUCUCCUUUUCUCUGUCUCUUUUAGUUAAUUGAUAAGAGUUCUUUACAUAUUCUGUGUAAUAACUCUUCAUCAGUUACGUGCAUUGUAAAUGCCAUCAAGUUUGUGGCCAAUCUUUUUAACUUUUUUAUACAGAAGUUUUAAAUUUGUAUGUAGCUGAAUUGAUUCAUCCUUUUCUGUACAUUACAUGCCUUCUGUGUCUUAAUUAAGAAGUCUGUCCUCACUCUGAAGUCAUAAAAAUCUGUUAUUAUCUAGAAUUUUCAAAGUUUUAUUUUUAACACUUUGGUCUUUAAUGACUUGCAUUCUUUGUACAGUCUAAAGAAUGGAACUGGUUUUGUUUUCUGCUUUUUCAAUAAGAUAACCAAUUUCGUGAGUGCCCUGUAUUGUAUUGUUUAUUCUUUCCCCAUUUACCAGCAAGGCCACCGCGGAACUUUCACGAUUCCCUAUGGGGACGGAGUCUAUUUCUGGCUCUAUGCUAUUUCAUUUGUCUAACCUGUGUCAAAACCACACUGUCCCAUUAACCAUAAGUUUAAAAUAAGUUUUGAUAGCUAUACAGCAAGACUCUCCUACCUUUAUCUUGUUGGGUUUUUUUUUUCCUCAAUAUUAUUAUAGCUCUACUUGGUUUUUUAUGCUCCCAGUAGCUUUUGGAGACAACUUGUGAUUGAUACAACUCUUUAAUCUAACUAGAUUAACUUAACUUUCAAAUUAAAUAAGGUGUUUUAUGUAGAAGCGCUUCGUAACCAAUGGACUGCUGUGGAGAUUUAAGCUGUCUGUAUUUGCAUCAUGAAAAUGUGAUUUAUUUGGAUUUGAGAGCAUUUUGUGUAUUGUAUGUAUCUGCUAGUAUAUAAUUUGCUUGCAAGUAGAGAAAUGUAGCUUGAUUUUUAUCAUUUUCUCUCUGUAAUGUAAUGUGGCCUGUGCAUACCCAAGAAAUAUUAUCUGAAUGGAAUCAUCAGUCAGGAUCCCAGAUAGACCAUGUAGUUAAUUGUUUUUUCUUUUUCUUCUUUUUUAAUACUUGUAAUUCUUCCUUCAUCUAUCACCAUCUUUCUGAGCUGAGUGUAAGAGAUUUUGUUUGUUUGUUUAAGAAAUAUUGGAUAUGCAGCAUAUUUUAAUAAAUUGCUCCCUGCCUACAGGCAAAAGCAAGAUGAAUUUCAAUAGGGAAAAUAUAAUAAGAAUGACUUUGAGUUUAAAAUUUAAUUUCCUACUGAUUUUGAUAAGACCAAUUUCAGAAUGCUUGCAUAUUCCAUUUGUCAUUUCUAUUCACUUUGUGCAAGGAGCUUCUUUCACUGAUGUCUACACAUCUGAAAUUUCACUUUACUUUAAAUAUGCAACAUGCAACUAUAUUAUUUAGUCCUGAAAAUAGGGCAAGUAUAGCAACUUGUAUGUUAAAAGAAUUAUCCUUUUCUUCUCAUAAUUUUUUAUGCAACCAGUCUUUAGAUAUGGUACUCUGGUAGGUUCUUAUUCAGAGAUUAAUCAGGCACACUUCCUGCACUAAAGGAUCUCAAAACCCAUCUGGAGUCCCAAGACAACAGAUAUUUUCAAAUUCCCA